GUCCAAAAAACUUGAGGCCUAUUCUAAAAUUUUUAAAACUUAAAUAAAGUGAACUAAUUUGAGGCUCAACAAUCUAUUGUUGCUGUUCCUCAUUCAUCCUGUGCGUUGUCUCUUUCUGCCAUCAACUCCGACUCUCCACCGUCCAUCCCAGGCCUUCGUCGGUGGCUGCCCUUCUCACCGCCAGAUCUUUCAAAUAUUCGGUACUCAAUCACAACCUUCUGCAUUUGUUUGGUGAUGACAUUCUUCAGCAUAUUUGAUGUGCCCGUGUCUUGGCCAAUACUCCUUGUCUACUGGGUGCUACUAUUCACUCUUACCAUGAAGCGACAGAUACUACAUAUGAUUAAAAAUACAAAUAUGUUCCAUUCUCCCUCGGGAAACAGGGGUUGUAAAAUUAGCUGGUUUAAUUUGUGUCUGGUACGUUCAUUUUGUUGUUAGCAUCAAAUUGUCAAUUUUGGUAAAUUUCUCUUUUCAGCUGUAUGAUCGGAAGAGGGAACCCUUGACAGAAAGUGCUAGCCUUACUUCCUAGAGAUUGAAACUUCAGGUAGAUUGAACUACUGACGCUAUUCGAUGCAUAGUUCUAAAAAACCGGCCAAUGCGCUAUGUAUCGGAAAAAUAGGGCACGGCGACGGAUACAGGCUGGUAUAUCGCUGAGAUUGAAAAUCGCAGGAGAAUCGGUUGAGUCCCGGUACGUAUCGGUCUGUAACCAUUACACAAGCCGUUACACAAGUCGCGACGGGUCGAUACUCACCGGUUCGGACCGGUAUGAAAAAAAAGCCUAAAAAACCUGUGAAAUGAUUUUUAAAAUUUCACUACCGCGACACCCGAUUCCUUAUACGUACUGAUUGAUACUACCGAUACCGAUAUUCCGCGAUUGAUACCGUUGUUACCCGAUACCGCGAUUUAGAACCUUGAUUCGAUGUCACAUGCAAAGAUUGCCCAAGUGGAAUUGCCCCCAUUUUUUUAUUAUAUUUUUUUAUAGAUAAAUUACAUUAACUUUUCUUACGUUGUGUUUGGUUUGAGAAUUUAGAAAGAGAUUUGAAAAGAGAAAGGAAAAAAAUGUAUGAAACUAUGUGAAAUGUAGGUAUAUUUUAUUUAUAUUUUAUCUACAUUUUUUUUUUCCUUUUCUAAAUUCCUUCCUAAAUCUCCCAACUAAACAUAGCGUUAAGGUUUGGUGAAAAUACUAGUAGCCUUACAAUUUUGACAUAAUUAUAUUAACCUCCAUUUUAGUAAAGAUAAAGAGACCGGAACGAAUGCAAAUAGAGUGAAAUCAUAUAACCUAAAUAAGGAAAAAUAUAUACAUUUCACUGUGAAAUAGAUAACAUCAAUUUUCUAUUUAUAUGAUUAACAAAUUAUCGAUAAAAAUGAGACUAAAUGUUAUGUGAAUAAAAAAUUUAAAACUGUGUUGGUUCAUGGAUUUGGGUAGCCAUUAAAAAAGAGAACGAAGAAUGUUGAAGCAAAUGUGAAUGAAAUAUAAGUUAAUUUUUUUUUUUCAAUUUCUUUUUAUUUUUUCACAUUCCUAUACAAAUCCACCAUACACAAGCCCAAUAUAUACUCAUAUCAAAAUUAUGAGACUUAUAAUAUUUUUUUUUCUAAUUUUAAGGAGGUGAAUAUAAUUUAUUUAUUUUUCAUCAGCAAGUGCUUUGCAUAGCAUUUUUAGUCGGUAAUGCCAGAGAAGUUAGGUUUUAUAAUUGCUGAACAUGUAAAAUUUAAGUUGUAAUGUCGAUUUUGUUUGACCCGACACUUUUUGGGUCAAAUUUGACCUGAUACAAAGCAAAUAAAAAAACUGUAACUUGGGAUUUA